rnacentral:rRNA from 1 species
UACGGGGGGGGCAAGCGUUGUUCGGAAUUACUGGGCGUAAAGGGCUCGUAGGUGGCCAACUAAGUCAUACGUGAAAUCCCUCAGCUUAACUGGGGAACUGCGCCUGAUACUGGUUGGCUUGAGUUUGGGAGAGGGACGCGGAAUUCCAGGUGUAGCGGUGAAAUGCGUAGAUAUCAAGAGGAACACUCGUGGCGAAAGCGAGCUACUGGACAAUUCCUGACGCUGAGGCUCGAAGGCUAGGGUAGCGAAAGGG